UACGGAGGAUGCAAGCGUUAUCCGGAAUGAUUGGGCGUAAAGCGUCCGCAGGUGGCUGUGUAAGUCUGCUGUCAAAGAGCGAAGCUCAACUUCGUAAAGGCAGUGGAAACUGUGUGACUAGAGGAUGGUAGGGGUCGCGGGAAUUCCCAGUGUAGCGGUGAAAUGCGUAGAUAUUGGGAAGAACACCAGCGGCGAAAGCGCGCGACUGGGCCAUUACUGACACUCAUGGACGAAAGCUAGGGGAGCGAAAGGG
rnacentral:rRNA from 1 species